AAUGUGGCGCAUGCCACGCUUUUGAAAGAUGGUUUCGGCUAUCGCUUACAGAUGGGCCCGCGGUGCAUUAGCUAGUUGGUAGGGUAAUGGCCUACCAAGGCAACGAUGCAUAGCCGACCUGAGAGGGUGAUCGGCCACACUGGGACUGAGACACGGCCCAGACUCCUACGGGAGGCAGCAGUAGGGAAUCUUCCGCAAUGGACGAAAGUCUGACGGAGCAACGCCGCGUGUAUGAAGAAGGUUUUCGGAUCGUAAAGUACUGUUGUUAGAGAAGAACAAGGAUAAGAGUAACUGCUUGUCCCUUGACGGUAUCUAACCAGAAAGCCACGGCUAACUACGUGCCAGCAGCCGCGGUAAUACGUAGGUGGCAAGCGUUGUCCGGAUUUAUUGGGCGUAAAGCGCGCGCAGGCGGUCUUUUAAGUCUGAUGUGAAAGCCCCCGGCUUAACCGGGGAGGGUCAUUGGAAACUGGAAGACUGGAGUGCAGAAGAGGAGAGUGGAAUUCCACGUGUAGCGGUGAAAUGCGUAGAUAUGUGGAGGAACACCAGUGGCGAAGGCGACUCUCUGGUCUGUAACUGACGCUGAGGC
rnacentral:rRNA from 1 species